AAGAAGACUUCGAUUAAAGAGCGCAUGAGAUAUAUUAUCUACUACCGUUAUAUGGGUAAAACAUAGAUAACAUACUCGCAUGGAAGAUUAUCCGCAACCGGUUACUGGGUUAAUAAAGGAUAAAUCGACCGAAAAGAAAGGACAUCAGGAUACCGGUUACUGGGUAUAAAAUGAUGACCAAUCAGAAGGAGAAACAAUCAUUUCCAAACAAGGGU
rnacentral:lncRNA from 1 species